rnacentral:rRNA from 1 species
AGCUUUACACCAUAUAAUAUCAACAGUUCGAUGUUCACCUGAUUACCUCUUGCCAUCAUAGUGUGAUGGGCUGCGUGACAUUACCUAGUUGGUAACGUAACGGCUUAGCAAGCGACCAUGUCGGUCUGCUCUGAUAAGAAAAUCCCCCGCACUGGUACUGAGACACAGACUCCACUCAUAGGCAAGGCUGCAGUAAGGAAUAUUGCAUUGUGCAAUGGGGCCAGAUGCGAACCUGCCAUGUGUAUGAAAAAAGGACUGCCCUUGGAAUUGAAUUUCGCUUUUGACCAAGAAGUUGUGGUUAUUAAACUAUUUAAUUGACUGUACCGGAAGAAUAAGGAUCGGCUAACUCCGUGCCAGCAGCCGCGGUAAUACGGAGGAUGCGAGCGUUAUCCGGAUUUAUUGGGUUUAAAGGGUGCGCAGGCGGUCUGUCAAGUCAGAUGUGAAAUACCGUGGCUCAACCUGCGAACUGCCUUCGAUACUGAUGGCUUGAAUCUUGUUUGAAGUGGCGAAUUCCAGAGUAGCGGUGAAAUGCAUAGAUAUGUCUUAGAUCUCCGAUUGCGAAGGCAGCUCACUGGACUGGUACUGACGCUGAUGCACGAAAGCGUGGGGAUCGACAGGAUUAGAUACCCUGGUUA